UACGUAGGAGGCAAGCGUUGUCCGGAAUCACUGGGCGUAAAGCGCGUGUAGGUGGAAGAGGAAGUCUGCUGUGAAAGCGCCUGGCUUAACCGGGCGAGGUCGGUGGAAACUCCUCAUCUGGAGGGCGGUAGAGGGGGGUGGAAUUCCGGGUGCAGUGGUGAAAUGCGUAGAGAUCCGGAGGAACACCUGUGGCGAAGGCGGCCCCCUGGGCCGCACCUGACGCUGAGACGCGAAAGCGCGGGGAGCGAACGGG
rnacentral:rRNA from 1 species